rnacentral:rRNA from 1 species
UGAGGAAUAUUGGACAAUGGGCGCAAGCCUGAUCCAGCCAUGCCGCGUGCAGGAAGACGGCCCUAUGGGUUGUAAACUGCUUUUAUACGGGAAGAAUAAGGGACACGUGUGUCCUGGUGACGGUACCGUAAGAAUAAGGACCGGCUAACUCCGUGCCAGCAGCCGCGGUAAUACGGAGGGUCCGAGCGUUAUCCGGAAUUAUUGGGUUUAAAGGGUCCGCAGGCGGGCAAUUAAGUCAGGGGUGAAAUGGUGCGGCUCAACCGUAGCACUGCCCUUGAUACUGGUUGUCUUGAGUCAUAGUGAAGUGGCCGGAAUAUGUAGUGUAGCGGUGAAAUGCAUAGAUAUUACAUAGAACACCGAUUGCGAAGGCAGGUCACUAACUAUGUACUGACGCUGAUGGACGAAAGCGUGGGGAGCGAACGGGAUUAGAUACCCCGGUAGUCCACGCCGUAAACGAUGGAUACUAGCUGUCGGGACUUCGGUCUCGGCGGCCAAGCGAAAGUGAUAAGUAUCCCACCUGGGGAGUACGUUCGCAAGAAUG